GUAGGUGGCAAGCGUUGUCCGGGAAUUAUUGGGGCGUAAAGCGCGCGCAGGCGGUUCUUUGAGUCUGAUGUGAAAGCCCACGGCUCAACCGUGGAGGGUCAUUGGAAACUGGAGAACUUGAGUACAGAAGAGGAAAGCGGAAUUCCACGUGUAGCGGUGAAAUGCGUAGAGAUGUGGAGGAACACCAGUGGCGAAGGCGGCUUUCUGGUCUGUAACUGACGCUGAGGCGCGAAAGCGUGGGGAGCAAACAGGAUUAGAUACCCUGGUAGUCCACGCCGUAAACGAUGAGUGCUAAGUGUUAGGGGGUUUCCGCCCCUUAGUGCUGCAGCUAACGCAUUAAGCACUCCGCCUGGGGAGUACGGCCGCAAAGGCUG
rnacentral:rRNA from 1 species